rnacentral:sRNA from 2 species
CAUAUAGUUUUCUAGGGUUCCACAGUGUUUUACUGGUUUGGUCCAAGAGAAAACGCACAAGAAUAUUGUGUACACGGAAGGAUAAAAGCCUGGGAGAA